rnacentral:lncRNA from 1 species
UCAGUCGUGCCACCAUGGUGAAAGGGGACGUUAAUAAACCCAAGGGCAAGACGUCAGCCUACGCCUUCUUCGUCCAGACCUGCCGGGAGGAGCAGAAGAUUAAACAACCCGACCAGUCGGUCAACUUCGCCGAGUUCUCCAAGCAGUGUUCUGAGAGAUGGAGGGCUUCCACUGCGAUUGACAAGCGUCGUUUUGAGGGACAUGGCGAGAACGACAAGGUGCGUUAUGAGAGGGACAUGAGGGGGUACGUCCCCCCAAGGGGAUGGCCAAGAGUGGUAGGAGGAAGAAGGACCCCACCGCUCCAACGACCCCCGUGAGUCACACACUACUGUAAUCCAUCACAUAUGGCCAGCUUCACUCUAACCCUCCUCCCUCCAUCACAUAUGACCUGCUUCCCUCUAACCCUCCUUCCUCCAUCACAUAUGACCUGCUUCCCUCUAACCCUCCUCCCUCCAUCACAUAUGACCUGCUUCCCUCUAACCCUCCUCCCUCCAUCCAUCAAUAUGACCUGCUUCCCUCCUCCAUCACAUAUGACCUGCUUCCCUCCUCCAUCCAUCACAUAUGACCUGCUUCCCUCCUCCCUCCAUUCACAUAUGACCUGCUUCCCUCUAACUCUCCGUCCUCUCCUCCCCCAGGUCUGCCUUUUUGUGUUUCUCAGCGAGGUUCCGUCGACGGUCAACAGGAUUUCCC